AUUGAACGCUGGCGGCAUGCCUUACACAUGCAAGUCGAACGGCAGCACGGGAGCAAUCCUGGUGGCGAGUGGCGAACGGGUGAGUAAUAUAUCGGAACGUGCCCAGUCGUGGGGAUAACGUAGCGAAAGCUACGCUAAUACCGCAUACGAUCUAUGGAUGAAAGCGGGGGAUCGCAAGACCUCGCGCGAUUGGAGCGGCCGAUAUCAGAUUAGGUAGUUGGUGAGGUAAAGGCUCACCAAGCUGACGAUCUGUAGCUGGUCUGAGAGGACGACCAGCCACACUGGGACUGAGACACGGCCCAGACUCCUACGGGAGGCAGCAGUGGGGAAUAUUGGACAAUGGGCGAAAGACCUGAUCCAGCAAUGCCGCCGUGAGUGAUGAAGGCCUCGGUGGUUAAAGGUACGUAC
rnacentral:rRNA from 1 species